rnacentral:rRNA from 1 species
CUUAGGAAUGCUAGUCGACCGACGUUCCUUUAGGAACGGAGGGGCGAACAGCUCAGUAACACGUGGCUAAUCUGCCCUCGCGUGGGGAACAACCUCGGGAAACUGAGGCUAAUACCCCAUAGGGGUGGUAGUCUGGAAGGACUCCUCCUCGAAAGCUCUUGCGCGCGAGGAUGAGGCCGCGGCCGAUUAGGUAGUAGGUAGUGUAACGGACCACCUAGCCUUCGAUCGGUACGGGCCGUGGGAGCGGGAGCCCGGAGACGGGUACUUAGACAAGGACCUGGGCCCUAAGGGGCGCAGCAUUCGCGAAAACUCCCCAAUGCGCGAAAGCGUGAGGGGGGAACCCCAAGUGCCAGCACAAAGUGUUGGCUUUUCUGGAGUGCAAAAAGCUCCAGGAAUAAGGGCUGGGUAAGACCGGUGCCAGCCGCCGCGGUAACACCGGCAGCCCAAGUGAUGUCCGCAAUUAUUGGGCUUAAAGCGUUCGUAGCCGGCCUGUUAAGUCCCCGGUCAAAUCCGACGGCUCAACCGUCGGCUAUCUGGGGAUACUGGCAGGCUUGAGGCCGGGAGAGGUCAGAGGUACUCCUGGGGUAGGGGUAAAAUCCGAUAAUCCUGGGGGGACACCAGUGGCGAGGCGUCUGACUGGAACGGCCUGACGG